UACGUAGGGACCAAGCGUUGUUCGGAUUUACUGGGCGUAAAGGGCGCGUAGGCGGCAAUUCAAGUCAUCUGUGAAAUCUCCGGGCUUAACCCGGAACGGUCAGGUGAUACUGUUUUGCUAGAGUGCGGAAGGGGCAAUCGGAAUUCUCGGUGUAGCGGUGAAAUGCGUAGAUAUCGGGAGGAACACCAGUGGCGAAGGCGGCAUCCUGGCCCUGUCCUGACGCUCAGGGGCGAAAGCGUGGGGAGCAAACCGG
rnacentral:rRNA from 1 species